AUUUAACGCUGGCGGCAGGCCUAACACAUUCAAGUCGAGCGGAUGACGGGAGCUUGCUCCUUGAUUCAGCGGCGGACGGGUGAGUAAUGCCUAGGAAUCUGCCUGGUAGUGGGGGACAACGUUUCGAAAGGAACGCUAAUACCGCAUACGUCCUACGGGAGAAAGCAGGGGACCUUCGGGCCUUGCGCUAUCAGAUGAGCCUAGGUCGGAUUAGCUAGUUGGUGAGGUAAUGGCUCACCAAGGCGACGAUCCGUAACUGGUCUGAGAGGAUGAUAAGUCACACUGGAUCUGAGACACGGUCCAGAUUCCUACGGGAGGCAGAAGUGGGGAAGAUUGGACAAUGGGCGAAAGCCUGAUCCAGCCAUGCCGCGUGUGUGAAGAAGGUCUUCGGAUUGUAAAGCACUUUGAGUUGGGAGGAAGGGCAGUAAGUUAAUACCUUGCUGUUUUGACGUUACCGACAGAAUAAGCACCGGCUAACUCUGUGCCAGCCGCCGCGGUAAAAC
rnacentral:rRNA from 1 species